rnacentral:rRNA from 1 species
GACGAACGCUGGCGGCGUGCCUAACACAUGCAAGUCGAACGGAAAGGCCCUGUUUGCAGGCUACUCGAGUGGCGAACGGGUGAGUAACUCGUGGGUGAUCUGCCCUGCUCUUCGGGAGAAGCCUGGGUAACUAGGGCUAAUACCGGAUAGGAGCCAUUUUUACUGUGAAGGUUUGAAAGUGUUUUCGGUGUAUGAUGAGCUCGCGGCCUAUCAGCUUGUUGGUGGGGUAAUGGCCUACGAAGGCGGCGACGGGUAGCCGGCGUGGGAGGGUGGACAGCCACAGUGGGACUGGGAUAGGGCCCAGACUCCUACGGGAGGCAGAGGUGGGGAAGAUUACACAAGGGGCGCGAGCGAGAUGCAGAGGCGCCGCGGGGGGGAGGACGGCCUUCGAGUUGUAAACGCCUUUCGCUAGGGACGAAGCUUUUUGUGACGGUACCUAGAUAAGAAGCACCGGCUAACUACGUG